rnacentral:rRNA from 1 species
ACUCCUACGGGAGGCAGCAGUCGAGAAUUUUUCUCAAUGGGGGAAACCCUGAAGGAGCGACGCCGCGUGGAGGAUGAAGGUCUUCGGGUUGUAAACUCCUGUCAUUUGGGAACAAGUGCCGGUACUUAACUGCUACCGGCUUGAUAGUACCAGAAGAGGAAGGGACGGCUAACUCUGUGCCAGCAGCCGCGGUAAUACAGAGGUCUCAAGCGUUGUUCGGAUUCAUUGGGCGUAAAGGGUGUGUAGGUGGCGCCGUAAGUCGGGUGUGAAAUUUCGGAGCUUAACUCCGAAACUGCAUUCGAUACUGCGGUGCUUGAGGACUGGAGAGGAGACUGGAAUUCAUGGUGUAGCGGUGAAAUGCGUAGAGAUC